ACGAAGGGUGCAAGCGUUAAUCGGAAUUACUGGGCGUAAAGCGCGCGUAGGUGGUUUGAUAAGUUGGAUGUGAAAGCCCUGGGCUCAACCUGGGAACUGCAUUGGAUACUGGCUUACUAGAGUGCGGUAGAGGGGUGUGGAAUUCCCGGUGUAGCAGUGAAAUGCGUAGAUAUCGGGAGGAACAUCUGUGGCGAAGGCGACACCCUGGACCAGCACUGACACUGAGGCACGAAAGCGUGGGGAGCAAACAGGA
rnacentral:rRNA from 1 species